ensembl:snRNA
GUGCUUCAUGGCAGGUCAGCAUUCCCCUUGACAAGGACGGAAGAGGACCCUGGACCAGACAACACACCUGAUUCAAAAGCAGAUACUGAGAACUGAAUCAGAUCAGAUCUAGGU